rnacentral:rRNA from 1 species
AUUGAACGCUGGCGGCAGGCCUAACACAUGCAAGUCGAGCGGAUGAAGGGAGCUUGCUCCUGGAUUCAGCGGCGGACGGGUGAGUAAUGCCUAGGAAUCUGCCUGGUAGUGGGGGAUAACGUCCGGAAACGGGCGCUAAUACCGCAUACGUCCUGAGGGAGAAAGUGGGGGAUCUUCGGACCUCACGCUAUCAGAUGAGCCUAGGUCGGAUUAGCUAGUUGGUGGGGGAAAGGCCUACCAAGGCGACGAUCCGUAACUGGUCUGAGAGGAUGAUCAGUCACACUGGAACUGAGACACGGUCCAGACUCCUACGGGAGGCAGCAGUGGGGAAUAUUGGACAAUGGGCGAAAGCCUGAUCCAGCCAUGCCGCGUGUGUGAAGAAGGUCUUCGGAUUGUAAAGCACUUUAAGUUGGGAGGAAGGGCAGUAAGUUAAUACCUUGCUGUUUUGACGUUGCCAACAGAAUAAGCACCGGCUAACUUCGUGCCAGCAGCCGCAGUAAGAC